rnacentral:rRNA from 1 species
CUUAGAAGCAGCCAUUCAUUAAAAGAGUGCGUAAUAGCUCACUAGUCGAGAGAUCUUGCGCCGAAAAUGUAACGGGGCUAAACUUACCACCGAAGCUACGGGCUUGAACUUAGUUCAAGCGGUAGGAGAGCGUCGUAACCGGGCUGAAGUCGUACCGUAAGGAGCGGUGGACUGGUUACGAGUGAGAAUGUUGGCAUCAGUAGCGAGAUGUGGGUGAGAAUCCCACAGGCCGAAAACCUAAGGUUUCCUCAGGAAGGUUCGUCCGCUGAGGGUUAGUCGGGACCUAAGCCGAGGCCGAAAGGCGUAGGUGAUGGACAACUGGUUGAUAUUCCAGUACCACUACCAUCGUUAUUAUCGAUGGCGUGACGCAGGAGGAUAGUGUGUGCUAGCUAUUGGAUGCUAGUCUAAGCGUUUAGGCAGUGAGAGUAGGCAAAUCCGCUCUCAUAAUGCUGAGGCGUGAUGGGGAAGGUUCUACGGAACCGAAGUACAUGAUUCCACGCUGCCAAGAAAAGCGUCUAGAGAGAGAAGUAGUGCCCGUACCGCAAACCGACACAGGUAGGUGAGGAGAGAAUCCUAAGGCCGGCGGAAGAAUUACAGUUAAGGAACUCGGCAAAUUGACCCCGUAAGUUCGCGAGAAGGGGUGCCUACGAGAGUAGGCCGCAGAGAAUAGGCCCAAGCAACUGUUUAGCAAAAACACAGGUCUCUGCUAAAGCGUAAGCUGAUGUAUAGGGGCUGACGCCUGCCCGGUGCUGGAAGGUUAAGGGGAACACUUAGCGCAAGCGAAGGUGUGAACUUAAGCCCCAGUAAACGGCGGCCGUAACUAUAACGGUCCUAAGGUAGCGAAAUUCCUUGUCAGGUAAGUUCUGACCCGCACGAAUGGCGUAAUGACUUGGGCACUGUCUCAACUGUAAAUCCGGCGAAGUUGUAGUGCGAGUGAAGAUGCUCGCUACCCGCGAUUGGACGGAAAGACCCCGUAGAGCUUUACUGUAGCUUAGCAUUGAGUUUUGGUAUUGUCUGUACAGGAUAGGUGGGAGACUAGGAAACCAGGGCGUCAGCCUUGGUGGAGUCAACCUUGGGAUACCACCCUGACAGUACUGAAAUUCUAACUGGCGGCCAUGAAUCUGGUCACAGGACAUUGUUAGGUGGGCAGUUUGACUGGGGCGGUCGCCUCCUAAAAAGUAACGGAGGCGCCCAAAGGUUCCCUCAGAACGGUCGGAAAUCGUUCGAAGAGUGCAAAGGCAGAAGGGAGCCUGACUGCGACACCCACAAGUGGAGCAGGGACGAAAGUCGGGCUUAGUGAUCCGGUGGUACCUCGUGGGAGGGCCAUCGCUCAACGGAUAAAAGCUACCUCGGGGAUAACAGGCUGAUCUCCCCCAAGAGU